rnacentral:rRNA from 1 species
ACGCACGCUGGCGGCGUGCUUAACCCCUGCCAGUCGCACGCUGAAGCUCAGCUUUUGUUGGGUGGAUGAGUGGCGAACGGGUGAGUAACACGUGAGUAACCUGCCCCCUUCUUUGGGAUAACGCCCGGAAACGGGUGCUAAUACUGGAUAUUCACUGGUCUUCGCAUGGGGGUUGGUGGAAAGGGUUUUUCUGGUGGGGGAUGGGCUCGCGGCCUAUCAGCUUGUUGGUGGGGUGAUGGCCUACCAAGGCUUUGACGGGUAGCCGGCCUGAGAGGGUGACCGGUCACAUUGGGACUGAGAUACGGCCCAGACUCCUACGGGAGGCAGCAGUGGGGAAGAUUGCACAAUGGGCGCAAGCCUGAUGCAGCGACGCCGCGUGAGGGAUGGAGGCCUUCGGGUGGUGAACCUCUUUCGCUCAUGGUCAAGCCGCAACAAUGGUUGUGGUGAGGGUAGUGGGUAAAGAAACGCCGGCUAACUACGU